rnacentral:rRNA from 1 species
GAUGAACGCUGGCGGCGUGCUUAACACAUGCAAGUCGAACGGAGAAAGGGUAGCUUGCUAUCUUUUCUUAGUGGCGGACGGGUGAGUAACGCGUGGGUAACCUGCCCUUUGCAGGGGGAUAACAGUGAGAAAUCACUGCUAAUACCGCAUACCAACUUCUUUCGCAUGAAAGAAGUUUGAAAGAUUUAUCGGCAAAGGAUGGACCCGCGUUGGAUUAGCUAGUUGGUGAGAUAAUAGCCCACCAAGGCAACGAUCCAUAGCCGGCCUGAGAGGGUGAACGGCCACACUGGGACUGAGACACGGCCCAGACUCCUACGGGAGGCAGCAGUGGGGAAUAUUGCACAAUGGGCGAAAGCCUGAUGCAGCGACGCCGCGUGAAGGAUGAAGGUCUUCGGAUUGUAAACUUCUAUCAGCAGGGAAGAAAGGGCUUAUAGCCUAUGACGGUACCUGACUAAGAAGCCCCGGCUAACUACGUGCCAGCAGCCGCGGU